rnacentral:rRNA from 1 species
GACGAACGCUGGCGGCGUGCUUAACACAUGCAAGUCGAACGGAAAGGCCCUGCUUUUGUGGGGUGCUCGAAUGGCGAACGGGUGAGUAACACGUGAGUAACCUGCCCUUGACUUUGGGAUAACUUCAGGAAACUGGGGCUAAUACCGGAUAGGAGCUCCUGCUGCAUGGUGGGGGUUGGAAAGUUUCGGCGGUUGGGGAUGGACUCGCGGCUUAUCAGCUUGUUGGUGGGGUAGGGGCUUACCAAGGCUUUGACGGGUAGACGGCCUGAGAGGGUGAACGGCGACAAUGGGACUGAGGGACGGAGCAGACGGCAACGGGCGGCAGCAGUGGGGAAUCUUGCACAACGGGCGGAAGCCUGAUGCAGCAACGCCGCGUGCGGAAUGACGUCCUUUGGGUUGUAAACCGCUUUCGCCUGUGACGAAGCGUGAGUGACGGUAAUGGGUAAAGAAGCACCGGCUAACUACGUG